rnacentral:rRNA from 1 species
CCCAGACUCCUACGGGAGGCAGCAGUGGGGAAUAUUGCAGAAUGGGGGAAACCCUGAUGCAGCGACGCCGCGUGAGUGAAGAAGUAUUUCGGUAUGUAAAGCUCUAUCAGCAGGGAAGAAAAUGACGGUACCUGACUAAGAAGCCCCGGCUAACUACGUGCCAGCAGCCGCGGUAAUACGUAGGGGGCAAGCGUUAUCCGGGUUUACUGGGUGUAAAGGGAGCGUAGACGGCAUGGCAAGUCAGAUGUGAAAACCCGGGGCUCAACCCCGGGACUGCAUUUGAAACUGUCAGGCUGGAGUGCAGGAGAGGUAAGUGGAAUUCCUAGUGUAGCGGUGAAAUGCGUAGAUAUUAGGAGGAACACCAGUGGCGAAGGCGGCUUACUGGACUGUAACUGACGUUGAGGCUCGAAAGCGUGGGGAGCAAACAGGAUUAGAUACCCCGGUACAG